rnacentral:lncRNA from 1 species
ACGCGGCACCAAACUAAUGAUUAUUUCCACCACUCCCACUCUCACCAUUUUACGUCUUUACCUUAUACAGAUGUGAAGACUCGAGUAUUUUCGUCUCUGAGCUGUGCUGCUGCAUUUCAGUAUUUUCUCCUGUCUGUGGACUUAAAAGAUUAAAGCUGUCUGAAACCUGAUUGUUUGGGGGGAUUUUGUGUGGCUUCAGAGUAUUUCCAGCCAUCUGUUUUCAAAUGCAUUUUCAUUUCACGCCAUUCAAGCAUCGCAAAGACACUUUCACAGCUGGGUGGUGUGUGAGGGAAACAGCUGGAGUGUUGUUGCAGAAACGCAGCUGAAGUUUGGAUGUUCUGUCCCAGCACCACCUCGGGUCUCCAGGUGUCUGUAAUGAGCGUGAUGAGUGCUGAGCUCCUACAUUAGAGGAGCUUCAAUCAGCAGCCAGCCUUCACCCGACAGAGCUGCUGUAGAUGACCUGCUGUUCUGAGUCAAACAUGGUGUUGGGACUCUCUUUGAGGGCUCCGUUGAUCUGCCUGCUGAUAGGCACUGGUUGUACUUUCCCUGCACCAGAUUACAGGUAUCCCUACCCAGGUGGUGGACCUUCUUCUGGAUUAUCAAACCUUCAGUCUGAAGCUUUUCACUCUCCCUUGGUUUCCCUGAUGUAUGAAGAUGCCCCUGAACACGGUGGUUCUCCUCCUGGAAGCCAGUCUCCAAGUGGUCCGGUAGCUUCCCUUCCAGCUCGGCGUUCUGUACCCAUAUAUGAGCCAAAAAAGUUUGUUGUGACUUAUGAUUCCAGCUCAGAUGAGUCCAGUCCUCCUGAAGUUCAGUCUCCUGGCCCCUGGUUCAGCUCUCUGGGAGCUGUGAGGAAACCUCCCAGCGUCUCUGUGAACCCUCGGUCAGCUUUGAGAACCAGUGAACGCCCACAUGUGGUGUUUGGGUCCCGUCCGGUCUACGAGGCUUUAUUGCCCCCUCGUGGAGUCAGAUAUGCUGGUGGGAACUCUGCUUCCUACAGAUCAUCCCCAUUUAAUCCAGCAUUCGCGUGGGAUGAACGGUUUGCAGCGGGGCCUUCUGCCCUGUUCUACCUGGGAGGGUGGACACCUCGUCACCUCCCGGAUGCCAGCUCCUGGAACACUGACGAGGUGCCGGUGAGCAAGGCUGAGCUGCCGUACCUGCUGCCUGCAUCUUACAUCGUCCAAUCAAGAAACCGCUACCAGCGACCAGCAGAAGUCCUGUCGCACUCCAAAUACUCUGACGAUACCUUCAAGCACAUUCACCCCAGCAAGUCUCCAGAUCUGCCUCAAUCUGAGGGACCAAAAGUUCACUGA